CUCAAAUAUAUGUCAAUUCAACCUUAAUUUAAUUCUAGUUAAAACCCUAUUGAAUUUCACUCAAACUUUAGACCAAACCUAAUUAAAUCUUAAACCCUAAUAAAUCCUAAAUCCUAAGUCAAAUCCUAAAUAAACCUUAAAUUAAACCCUAAAUCAAACCCUAUUUCAAACCCUAAAUCCUAAACCAAACCUUAAAUCAAACCCUAAUCAAAUCCUAAACCCUAACCCAAACCCUA
rnacentral:lncRNA from 1 species